CCUACGGGUGGCUGCAGUCGAGGAUCUUCGGCAAUGAGCGCAAGCUUGACCGAGCGACGCCGCGUGAGCGAUGAAGGCCUUCGGGUUGUAAAGCUCUUUAGUGGGGGAGAUCUAUCCCAAAAAUAAGCACGGGCUAAGUUCGUGCCAGCAGCCGCGGUAAGACGAACCGUGCGAACGUUGUUCGGAAUAACUGGGCUUAAAGGGCGCGUAGGCGGGCUGACAAGUCUGGGGUGAAAUGCCACGGCUCAACCGUGGAACUGCCUCAGAUACUGUCGGCCUCGAGGAAGGUAGGGGCGUGCGGAACUGUAGGUGGAGCGGUGAAAUGCGUUGAUAUCUACAGGAACUCCGGUGGCGAAAGCGGCGCGCUGGACUUUCUGACGCUGAGGCGCGAAAGCCAGGGGAGCAAACGGGAUUAGAUACCCCUGUAGUC
rnacentral:rRNA from 1 species